ensembl:lncRNA
GGUUGAGGGGGUAUUUAUCUGAGAGGGUAGUUGUGGUUGAGGGGGUAUUUAGCUUUGGGAGGGUAUUUGUGGUUGAUGGAGUAUUUAUCUGAGAGAACAGUUGUGGUUGAGGGGGUAUUUAGCUUUGAGAGGGUAUUUGUGGUUGAGGGGGUAUUUAUCUGAGAGGGCAGUUGUGGUUGAGGGGGUAUUUAGCUUUGAGAGGGUAGUUGUGGUUGAGGGGGUAUUUAGCUUUGGGAGGGUAGUUGUGGUUGAGGGGGUAUUUAACUUUGGGAGGGUAGUUGUGGUUGAGGGGGUAUUUAUCUGAGAGGGUAGUUGUGG